rnacentral:lncRNA from 1 species
UGUGUGACCUCAUAGGUUUAAACCUAAGCCGGUAGCAUAGGAAUAAAUUUUUAUACCAAUCAAAGUGACCAUCUAGCAAUGGUACCCGAUGGUCAGAUAGGUCGAAUGUGUAGAACAACAUCAUUAGAAUCUAUACAAAUAUAGUUUCCAUAUAAUUUAUCCCCUUGACCAAAAUGCUCAUAGGACACCUCAGAGUUUCACUGUCAACUCUGAUCAGGUUGUCCACAUUGUAUUUCAAAAUAUCAAAUCUAUCUGAUGGAUUAUCCUGGCC